GAUGAACGCUGGCGGCGUGCUUAACACAUGCAAGUCGAACGGUGAAGCCGUGCUUGCUCUGUGGAUCCGUGUCGCACGGGUGAGUGACACGUGAGCAACCUGCCCCUUUCACUGGGAUAAGCCCUGAAGACGGCGUCUAUAAUACCAGAUGGGCUCCCCCCCCGUGGUGUGGGGUUGGGAAGAUUUUGGCGGUUGGGGAUGGCCUCCCGGCUUAUCAGCUUGUUGGUGGGGUAUUGGCUCACCAAGGCUUCGACGGGUAGCCGGCCUGAGAGGGUGACCGGCCACACUGGGACUGAGACACGGCCCAGACUCCUACGGGAGGCAGCAGUGGGGAAUAUUGCACAAUGGGCGAAAGCCUGAUGCAGCAACGCCGCGUGAGGGAUGACGGCCUUCGGGUUGUAAACCGCUUUUAGCAGUGAAGAAGCGAAAGUGACGGUACCUGCAGAAAAAGCGCCGGCUAACUACGUG
rnacentral:rRNA from 1 species